GUUUAGUGUGAAGAUGUCAAGGAGUGCAAUACACACAAUCCGAGCAGAGAUUUGUGAAAGGAUAUCGGGUCAAGUGUUUCAACAGUUAUCUGGCCAGCAGAAGGAGCGGUCUUUUGGUGUUAGGUGGACACAGGCUUGCAAGGAUCACAACAGGAGAAACAUGAGGAGAACUUUGAAUUGGAAUGAAAGCAGGUGUUUCAACAAUUAUCUGGCCAGUUAGAAAUGCUGUCUUAGGGUCUCAAGACAACUGCAUGUAAGGAUUACAACAAGACCAAUUUCAAGGAAAAUCUUUCUUGAGGAUACUGCUUGUUUGAGGUAGCAUCUGUUGAAACGGUUUGUGGUCUGCUUGCCUUCUGCCGCUAAGCACCAAUGGAGUAAGAUUGUUUCUGGAAUUGUCUGGGUGGGGAUUGACCAGAGUUCUAAAUUAUUAUUUCUUUUAUUUCCUAAUUUAAUCUGUGAGUGUUGAGAUGUCUCGGUAGAAUGCAUGCAUUUGUCAUAUUUAAAUUUUGUUGGUUCCAAGAAACCAACUGCAUUUUGUAUAAAUACAUGCAUUUGUCGUAUUUCUGGUUUUUUUUUUUGAAAAACUGGAAGGUGUGAGAAACCGAUAAAGAACUGGAAAAACAAGAGGACCUUCGUUAUUAUAUCUGAAGCAAGAAAGAUCUUGUCUGUUGGGAGAAACCGACUGUUCUUUGUGGAAAGGUCGUAGAAAGCAAACUCUCAUCAUUUUCUGGAAAUCUCUUGAACUACGAAGAAUUGUUGGUAAUUUCUGAGAUUUUCUACGAAGACUUCUGGCAACAUUUUUCACGACAAGUUCUUCGUCUUUUCCUGAA